GUUUGUUUGUGUGUGUGUGUGUGUGUGUGUGUGUGUGUGUGUGUGUGUGUGUAGGGGAUGAGCAGUACACAGAGGGAGCUGAAGACCGGAUCCCUGCGCCGAGCAGCCCGUUCUUCCUCACCGACCCGGCACAGCUCUGGUACAAGACCUGCUCUCAUUCACUUUUUAUUGGUUGGUGGCAAUGAGCUUCCACAGUGCUCAGCCGUGUUGACUCUGAAUGUGCCGUGUGUUUGUGUGUCCUGCAGUGUGCCAGAGCUGGCUGAAGAGGGCGCUAGCGGCGUCCGCGGCCCUGUGCUGUUCCACCCAGCGCCCAACUGCAGGAUUAGAGAGGUGCAUUGUGGGAGUCAGGUCCGGCUCGUCGUCAUAGCCAUUCGAGACAUUGCCAAAGGAGAGGAGAUCACAGUGGACUACAGCCUGACCGACUGGGGAGAAAAUGCCAUGGGCUUUCAUACUUCGGUGUCCCCGCGCGGGUUUGAAUGUGGAUUCAACCCAGAGAGCAACAUCAAGAAGGAGGAGGAGCCGGGUUCACUCCCAAUGUCUCUCAGCGUUUCUGACUACCUCACUCCGUCAUGGUCCCUGUCUCCCUCCUCCUCUCCGCUGUCUCACUCCGAGGCCAGAGACUCUGACCGAGAGGAGGACGAAGAGGAGGAGGACGACGACGACGACGACGAUGAUGAUGACGACGAAGAUGAUCUGGAGGAUCUGCGGGGCCGCAUGAUGAGACGCCGCAAGAAACAGAAAACCUCGGCGACCAUCAAGAAGAAAGCCCAGCCCCGCCCCCUGUCCUUCACAUGCCCCGCCCCUUCCUCACCGACGCCCUUCCAGCAGCCUCUAGCCCCGCCCACCACCAACAUAAACAAUAACAUAAACAUAAACAUCGGCGCGAGCGGCGCGCUCUCCCGCAGACAGCACUGUCCCUACUGCGGCCGUCACUUCCGCUCGCUCGCUAGGCACCUGGAGAAACACCACGAGCAGCAGCCCGAGGUCCGAGCAGCCAUGGAGCUGUCGCACCCCCCCGCCUCCUCGCACCCCGUCACAUCUCCCUCUCAGCCCUCGCCCUCCCUGUUUCCCCGCGAGCGAGACGCUUCGUCUUCAGCGCCGAAGUCCGGAGGCGUCUCCUUCUCGCUCUCGCUGUCUCCGCCUCCUGCCUCCAAUACCGCAAAAAAGAGCUCAGCGACAGCGCCUAAAAACAAGAGCCCGGCCGUCUCGCCCAAGCCUCCCGCCAGGAGAGGACGGCCGCCGAAGAAAGAGAAAGAACAGCAGCAGAAGAAGCAGGAGGAGCCCGGGAAACAGGAGGAGGAGGUGGAGGAGGAGAAGAAUCAAGAAGACGGAGGCGCAGAGGAGAAGAACAGUGACGUGGCGAGGUGAGCUUGUCUUAGAACAUGCACUUUCUCUUCAAUCUUUAAUCUAUUUUUAAAUGUUA
rnacentral:lncRNA from 1 species